rnacentral:pre_miRNA from 1 species
CACGGGGGGGAGGGAUCCCCCUCAGCCUGGAUUGUGAGAGGGCACAGGCCCGGCUAAGGGACCCCACUGGUGCACA